GCAUGGCGGACUUCCUGUCCGGACAAAUCCGCCGUCCGCCAGGGCCUUUGGAAAACGACCUUUCCCAUCGUGGUGGUGGUCGAAGGAGGUCCCAAAGCGCAGACGAAAUUUAAGCGGCUCACGUUACACCGAAUAAAAUGGGAUGAGCGGACGUCAAACACAAAAGGAGAUGAUGAUGAGGAAUCUG